CCUAACACAUGCAAGUCGAACGGUAACAGGAAGCAGCUUGCUGCUUCGCUGACGAGUGGCGGACGGGUGAGUAAUGUCUGGGAAACUGCCUGAUGGAGGGGGAUAACUACUGGAAACGGUAGCUAAUACCGCAUAACGUCUUCGGACCAAAGWGGGGGACCUUCGGGCCUCAUGCCAUCAGAUGUGCCCAGAUGGGAUUAGCUAGUAGGUGGGGUAAUGGCUCACCUAGGCGACGAUCCCUAGCUGGUCUGAGAGGAUGACCAGCCACACUGGAACUGAGACACGGUCCAGACUCCUACGGGAGGCAGCAGUGGGGAAUAUUGCACAAUGGGCGCAAGCCUGAUGCAGCCAUGCCGCGUGUAUGAAGAAGGCCUUCGGGUUGUAAAGUACUUUCAGCGAGGAGGAAGGCGUUAAGGUUAAUAACCUUAGCGAUUGACGUUACUCGCAGAAGAAGCACCGGCUAACUCCGUGCCAGCAGCCGCGGUAAUACGGAGGGUGCAAGCGUUAAUCGGAAUUACUGGGCGUAAAGCGCACGCAGGCGGUCUGUCAAGUCGGAUGUGAAAUCCCCGGGCUCAACCUGGGAACUGCAUUCGAAACUGACAGGCUAGAGUCUUGUAGAGGGGGGUAGAAUUCCAGGUGUAGCGGUGAAAUGCGUAGAGAUCUGGAGGAAUACCGGUGGCGAAGGCGGCCCCCUGGACA
rnacentral:rRNA from 1 species